AUUGAACGCUGGCGGGAGGCUUAACACAUGCAAGUCGAGCGAGUGGCGGACGGGUGAGUAAUAUCUCGGAACGUGCCCGAUGGCGGGGGAUAACUACUGGAAACAGUAGAUAAUACCGCAUACCAUUAGAUGAGCCCAGAUCUGAUUAGCUAGUUGGUGGGGUAAAGGCUCACCAAGGCGACGUUCCAUAGCGCGUUUGAGAGGACGACCAGCCACACUGGGACUGAGACACGGUCCAGACUCCUACGGGAGGCCGCUGUGGGGAAUUUUUGACAAUGGGCGCAAGCCUGAUGCAGCCAGCCCGCGUGUGUGAUGAAGGCCUUCGGGUUGUAAAGUACUUGCAGCAGGGAGGCGUUACCCGCAGAAGAAGCACCGGCUAACUACGUGCCAGCAGCCGCGGUAAUAC
rnacentral:rRNA from 1 species